rnacentral:rRNA from 1 species
UGGGGAAUUUUGGACAAUGGGCGAAAGCCUGAUCCAGCAAUGCCGCGUGUGUGAAGAAGGCCUUCGGGUUGUAAAGCACUUUUGUCCGGAAAGAAAUCCUUGGCUCUAAUACAGUCGGGGGAUGACGGUACCGGAAGAAUAAGCACCGGCUAACUACGUGCCAGCAGCCGCGGUAAUACGUAGGGUGCAAGCGUUAAUCGGAAUUACUGGGCGUAAAGCGUGCGCAGGCGGUUUGCUAAGACCGAUGUGAAAUCCCCGGGCUCAACCUGGGAACUGCAUUGGUGACUGGCAGGCUAGAGUAUGGCAGAGGGGGGUAGAAUUCCACGUGUAGCAGUGAAAUGCGUAGAGAUGUGGAGGAAUACCGAUGGCGAAGGCAGCCCCCUGGGCCAAUACUGGCGCUCAUGCACGAAAGCGUGGGGAGCAAACAGGAUUAGAUACCCUGGUAGUCCACGCCCUAAACGAUGUCAACUAGUUGUUGGGGAUUCAUUUCCUUAGUAACGUAGCUAACGCGUGAAGUUGACCGCCUGGGGAGUACGGUCGCAAGAUUAAAACUCAAAUGAAUUGACGGGGUCAUAGCUG